UACGUAGGGGGCGAGCGUUGUCCGAAGUUACUGGGCGUAAAGCGCGCGUAGGCGGUCCUUUAAGUUGAUUGUGAAAUCUUCACGGCUCAACCGGAAAACUGCGGUCAAAACUGGAGGACUUGAGAUUGGGAGAGGGAAGUGGAAUUCCUGGUGUAGCGAUGAAAUGCGUAGAUAUCAGGAGGAACACCGAUGGCGAAGGCAGCUUCCUGGCCCAAUUCUGACGCUAGACGCGAAAGCGAUGGGGAGCAACAGGGAUUAAGAAACC
rnacentral:rRNA from 1 species